UGUUUCUUUGGUCUUUUAAGUAAUAGUCAAGAAUUUGUUGAACCACAUUAGAGAAAUAUGUAUUGGUUAAAAUCUUGCUAGAAAGGAAGAAAAGGUCAAGACAGACUCUGACUUUGAAGGCCAACAAACUAGUCUUUAACUUUGGAAACGAAAUUAAAUUACUUAUAUUUAUGUGGGAUCUUUGAGAAUCUCUUACUCUCCCAAUGUUACAUAUUUGAAAAAUGUCAGGUGAUUAAUUUCUAACUGAACCUGAAUCAAGUUCAAGUCCAAAAAGUAAUAGUAACAAGUUUGACCUCAGCAAGGCGGCCUCUUUCUUUGUUUAAUGUGAUGUAUGCUGCUGUCUGAUUGAUAUGAACUAACAAGGUUGGAAACUAUCAAAUAGCGCCGAUGUUUGGAUACCGAUAAGCCCGUUCUUCUGACCAGGCCUGGCAAGUACAGAUUAUGCUUUGAAAAGUAAUAUUUACAGUGGAUAACAUCAUACUCUGUUCACUUCUGGUGGCUUGGAGCUGUUAGACGGGCCAGAAGUGAAAGAAAUAGUAGUGGGUCCACGCGUUGGCAUCGAUUAUGAUUUGCUUGAACAUGUUAGUGCCUUAUGGAGGUUUGAAAUUUCAGAUAUCCCUUGGAUAAGUGCUCCUAAAAACACCCUCAAGGCACCUUAAUUUUCAAAUCAUGGACAUGACUGAUGGAAGGAGUUUUUUUUUUUUUUCGGUUGACAAUCUUAUUGUUGCAUAUUUUGUUUUUUGUGUGGGUCUUGAACCACAAGGCAGUGUACAUACUGAAAAGGGUUGAAGUAAACUAAUGGAAUUUAGCUUUUACUGCA